AGUAUAGCCGAGGGACAGAAUGUCUCAGUAAGACGGGCUCGGAGGGGAAGUGUUUUGGAAAGGCCUCUGCUUGCUCUGGGAGGCGUUCAGGAUGCUGAGGUUUUGGAAAUCUAUGGCGGCUCUUCACAACUGCUCCCAGCUUUGGGAGGAGGAAUAGACGGGUGCUCGUUUCCUCGGGUUCAGUGGCAAAGGUGAAGACCAGCACUGCCGACCUGGGACCUGGGCCUCUCCCGGGCCUGGGGAGGACACUGGACUUUGAAGGGGAAUGCAGCCUAGAAGGCCUGGACCCUGGAGUCAGGAGAUGCUGCUCCCAUCCAGUAAGCCCUGGCUGGAGCUCUUCUGGGCACCAACCCUGGCAUAAAACCAGUGGGGCCUCUGGGCCUGCACUCAACAGUGCCUCUGAUGGAGCAGGUUCAGCUUGGUUGUGACCUCUGCUAGAAGCCCUCCCUGGCCUCCCUGUGCACUGAGCUGGUGGUUCCUCCUUUGCGCCCCAGGUACAUGCUCAGAUCUGUGUACCCUACACUUUGUCCUCCAGCUUCGUGUUUGGAUGUUCACAACUCCCAUGAGAAGGGCCCCCGAGAGCUGGCACAGUGCAUGUGUUUCCUCUCCAGACUUCUACAAACCUGGCACAUAAUUGUUUGCUGAAAGAUGGCAUGUUCCUAAAACAGAGGAAGUAGAACCGAAUAAAGCGAAAUCCAACUUCCCA